GACGAACCGUGCAAACGUUGUUCGGAAUCACUGGGCUUAAAGAGCGCGCAGGCGGUCGAUCAAGUCGCGUGUGAAAGCCCCCGGCUCAACUGGGGAGGGUCACGCGAUACUGAUCGACUCGAAGGCAGGAGAGGGUAGUGGAAUUCCCGGUGUAGUGGUGAAAUGCGUAGAUAUCGGGAGGAACACCAGUGGCGAAGGCGACUACCUGGCCUGUUCUUGACGCUGAGGCGCGAAAGCUAGGGGAGCAAACGGG
rnacentral:rRNA from 1 species